rnacentral:rRNA from 1 species
UACGGAGGAUACAAGCGUUAUCCGGAUUUAUUGGGUUUAAAGGGUGCGUAGGCGGACUGUCAAGUCAGCGGUAAAAUUGAGAGGCUCAACCUCUUCCCGCCGUUGAAACUGGUGGUCUUGAGUGGAUGAGAAGUACGCGGAAUGCGUGGUGUAGCGGUGAAAUGCAUAGAUAUCACGCAGAACUCCGAUUGCGAAGGCAGCGUACCGGCAUCCAACUGACGCUGAGGCACGAAAGCGUGGGGAUCAAACAGG